UACGUACCUCUGCUCCGAGGCGCGCGAC
rnacentral:sRNA from 1 species